GGACCGUCAGGAUCAGCAUCAUUAGGAGUUUCAGUGUUACUGUCACUGAUCCAGGUCUGUCUUUCUUUGCUUUAUUUGGAAUAUGUGGUGUUGUUAUGGGGGCAGCUGUCAUUGUGUAUUUUUGCUGUUGGAAAUGCUUAAGUAAGAAACCGGCAACAGGAAGAAGCGCAAGAUACUAUACCACUGAGAACUCAGAUCUAUGAGAUCUGUAAAUGUUAUUUGAGUUUCCUGUAUGUGGUUUCAUUCAGAAAUAAUAGAUCACUGCUCUUGUAAGUUUAAAGUGAAGAACCGUGGCACUAAUAAAUUUUAUAUUAUUAUUAUUAAAUAUACAAUUAUUUAUUAAUAAGGGGCAUUAUGAUGGUGCUUUAGGAUAAGGUAGUAACAAAUGUGAGAACAGUUUUCCUAGGGAUUGUCCAUUAUUAUGAUCACCACAGAAGCAGAAUUCAUGGGUGAGGCCAUGCCACAACAAUAACAACACAAAUAACUCCCAAAUAAAUCAAGUGUUUUAUUAGGAGAUCAAGUGAGAGUAUAUGUAUUGUCUUAAAGCUUCAGUAAGUGAUUUAUGAGAAAUGCCAAUGAUAUUUGAAAUCAAAACCAAAACAAACAAACCCUUCCCCUCAUUGAUCUGCCCCCAAAAUGUGAGAAUGGAUGCCUCUUUAUCAUCGCUGAAGCGAAGCAAAAUAAUGCUUUGCAAAACAUAAGCGAUGACAACGAACGUACGACAAGAGAUAACAAAAACUAACAUACAGCACACAAGAGCAUCAGUAAGAGUUGGUUGUUAGUCACCAUACUGCAUGCCAGAUCCAGACAAACAGUGAAAACUCAAACUGUUCUGUUACUUUAGCUAUUUCAACAACAUCAUAUCAAUUUCUCUGUCAUUCUCGUGGAGAGUUCUAAAUCUCAGCAACAUGAAAAGUGAAUAUUUGUUUCUCAAUGCUGAUUUCAGCUAUGAGUUUCCAGCUCCAUAUUUCCAUAUUAUGUCUUCAUCUUAAUAUAUUUCAGUAACAUCAGUGUUUAGAGUAACAAAAUCUCUCUUCAUCACACUGACUGUAUUUCAUUUGUCUCAACACCAAACACACCUGAUGAACAAAUUAAGACUUCUGUUGAUUUACAAAUCCUGAAAUAAGCUGUAGUUUGAAAUUAUACGUUCACUAUUCAAUUUUUGAAUUUAUUUUACUUUUGUUGUUCUUUAUGAU